CCAAAUGUUCUUUUCAGAACACAAAUACUUCAAAAUAAAAGAAGU
rfam:Cricetulus griseus cell line CHO-K1, whole genome shotgun sequence.